AACAAUUGGGAAACAGUUUCUCCACUCCCAAGUGGCUAGAUGUGGCUUCAUCCCUUUCUUCCUCUCCUGGUCUCUCACAGAGCCUCACUCUCUUCCUGGAGGCCUUAGAGGGCACUGAGUCUGUCAUCCCAAGGGAUAAGUUUCUGGACAUCACCAGUGCCGUGUUCUACCAGCUCUAUGACGACAGCAAGCAGCACAGCGAGGCUGAUCGUGCACAGCUGACCCACUGCAUCAUGCUGCAGGCCCGGAUCUGCCCAGAGGAAAU